rnacentral:tRNA from 1 species
GGUGCCAUAGUGGAACUGGCUUAACACGCCGGCCCUUCAAGCCGGAGAUUCGGGGUUCGAGCCCCCGUGGCAUCACCA